rnacentral:rRNA from 1 species
CGGGUGAGUAACGCGUGAGGAACCUGCCUCAAAGAGGGGGACAACAGUUGGAAACGAUUGCUAAUACCGCAUAAGCCCACGGCUCGGCAUCGAGCAGAGGGAAAAGGAGUGAUCCGCUUUGAGAUGGCCUCGCGUCCGAUUAGCUAGUUGGUGAGGUAACGGCCCACCAAGGCGACGAUCGGUAGCCGGACUGAGAGGUUGAACGGCCACAUUGGGACUGAGACACGGCCCAG